UCCAUCCGCCGGCGAUGGCCGUGCGUGGCGGCCAUCCGUCCCCUGCCCCUGCCUACAAAGCCCCCCCGGUCGCCUCCCCGAAACCCUAGCGCCCUCCUCCUCUCGCCCCCAUCUCCCUCCCUCGCGCUCGGCCUCGUCGUCCUCCUCCGCCCCACCUAGCCGUCGCCGUCAUCAUCACGGCCACCGUCGUUUUCGUCGCUCGGCAGCACAUCAAGGAGGUCCGGUGUGGCCUGCUUCGUCCGUCCUGAGCACCAAACCGAGUCGAGGCGGCCCAUACGCUCUGCAUCGUCGUCGUCUCCUCGCCACGACCGCCGUCUCUCGUCAUCAAAUUCGACGCAUCCCGGCCACCCCGCGCUCGCUGACCUCAACCACAAACACCAGGAUGUCGGAGUCCAGGAGCCAGAUUCCACCUUUGACGACUGCUACUACCCCGACGGUGCCUACUACUACGUGAAGACCGCCGACGACCAGGAGUAGUUAGGAGGCUCCCAGGCAGGAUGCCUUGCCUUUUCGAUCGAUGUUGCUUUUGUGCUAGCCUUCUUAAGGCAAACUUGUCUAACUCAUGUCUGUGCUUAGAUAUUGUUGCUUCCGCUGACUCUUGUGUUUUUGAGCUUAUGUAUUCGAGCCCUCGAGGCCCCUGGCUUGUAAUAUAAAGUUUUUAUUAUUUUAAUUUAUGUCUAGAGUUGUGUUGUGAUAUCUCCCCGUGAAUCCUUGAUCUUGAUUGUACACAUUUGCGUGUAUAAUUAGUGUACGAUUGAAUCGACGACGUCACACUUGGUUACACGAUCCCAUUUA